GAUGAACGCUGGCGGCGUGCUUAACACAUGCAAGUCGAACGGAACUUCUUGGAUUGAGGCUUCGGCCAAAUGAAUUGAAGUUUAGUGGCGGACGGGUGAGUAACGCGUGAGUAACCUGCCUUUCAGAGGGGGACAACAGUUGGAAACGACUGCUAAUACCGCAUAAUGUAUAUUGAGGGCAUCCUCGAUAUACCAAAGAUUUAUCGCUGAAAGAUGGACUCGCGUCUGAUUAGAUAGUUGGCGGGGUAACGGCCCGCCAAGCCGACGAUCAGUAGCCGGACGGAGAGGUGGAACGGCCACAUUGGGACUGAGGUACGGCCCAGACUCCUGCGGGAGGCAGCAGUCGGGAAUAUUGCGCAAUGGAGGAAACUCUGACGCAGUGACGCCGCGUGCAGGAAGAAGGUUUUCGGAUUGUAAACUGCUUUAGUCAAGGAAGAUACAAGACAGUACUUGAAGAAUAAGCACCGGCUAACUAUGUGCCAGCCGCCGCGGUAAGAC
rnacentral:rRNA from 1 species